rnacentral:piRNA from 1 species
ACCUAAGAUUGAAAACAGUUGUAG